UAGGGAAUUUUGGGCAAUGGGCGAAAGCCUGACCCAGCAACGCCGCGUGUGGGAUGAAGGCCCUCGGGUCGUAAACCACUGUCAGGAGGAAAGAAAAGUCGGCCGGAUAAUACUCGGUCGACCUGACGGUACCUCCAAAGGAAGCACCGGCUAACUCCGUGCCAGCAGCCGCGGUAAUACGGAGGGUGCAAGCGUUGUUCGGAAUUACUGGGCGUAAAGCGCGUGUAGGUGGUCGAGUAAGUCGAAUGUGAAAGCCCCGGGCUCAACCCGGGAAGUGCAUCCGAAACUGCUCGACUAGAGUCCCGGAGAGGAAGGCAGAAUUCCCAAUGUAGGGGUGAAAUCCGUAGAUAUUGGGAGGAAUACCGGUGGCGAAGGCGGCCUUCUGGACGGUGACUGACACUCAGACGCGAAAGCGUGGGGAGCAAACAGGAUUAGAUACCCGUGUAGUCCCUGAGCGGGCUGGCAAGGCGCAU
rnacentral:rRNA from 1 species